UGCACUGCAGUGUUGGCAAAACGUGGUUUUUCUACUUGUAGAAAUUUGCUUGCAAUGGUACUGUGAUUGAACACCCAGAAUAUGGAGAAGUGAUUCAGCUGCAAGGUGACCAGCGCAAGAACAUAUGCCAGUUCCUCAUCGAGAUUGGUCUGGCUAAAGAUGACCAGCUGAAGGUCCAUGGGUUUUAAGUGCCUGUGGAUCUCUGACGCAUUAAGUGAGGACUGCCUUGUGAUGAGUAAAAUCCCAUUCUGUCCCUUGUCAUAAGUUUAAAGCCAGCUGGAUUGUGUAAUGUAACCAUCUGAAGUCCGCUGUCUAGUCUGGACUAGUGUAACUCGGCGAUGUAAUAAACUGGCCAGAGCCAUGCUGUCUCGUCUUGCUGUCCCUCAUUUAAACCGAGGUAGAUCUGGCAGUGUCCAGCCUGAGGCUAAAAAUAACAAGUUUGUGUUAAGUCCAGGGACUCAACAUGUCUGUCCAGAGACUGUCUGAAUAUCUCUUCAGUCCAGCGUCCUUAGCAUUUAAAUGGACUUCAGUAAUUGAGGUGCCGGUUGUGGUCCUAAAUGGCAGGAGGCACCAAACAUGAGCUGUGACACUGAAUGGGGAAGUAGCAUCCUGUAGGCAGGGGUGGCUUCUGAAGGUGUCACGGUCUGGGCGCAAACUGACCGACCAAGAAGAGCAACUGAAGAAAUCUGCCUUAGGUGAUACCUGGAAGAAGGGCUUCUCCAAGGCUGAAUGUCUCAACCUCGGGCCAAGUGAGCUGUUGGUAUCAUUAAACCCAAAGCUACGGGAGUAGAGUGCUCAAAGGAAACAUUACCUUGGGUUAAACUUUUGACAAGGGAUCAAUUUUGGAUCAUUGUAGAUAGAGCUGCAGAGCUUACAUGUUACUAGUAACUGCUGCCCAAUGCCCUGUGAAGCAACAGAUUUGUUUCAGUUUUAAUGUUGUAUGUAAUGUAUUUAAACCCUUAUUUAAAUAAAAAUGGUUUUCAAAAA